rnacentral:rRNA from 1 species
UACGUAGGGGGCAAGCGUUGUCCGGAAUCAUUGGGCGUAAAGCGCGUGUAGGCGGCUCGGUAAGUCCGCUCUGAAAGUCCAGGGCUCAACCCUGGGAUGCGGGUGGAUACUGCCGGGCUCGAGUCCGGAAGAGGCGAGUGGAAUUCCCGGUGUAGCGGUGAAAUGCGCAGAUAUCGGGAGGAAUACCAGCGGCGAAGGCGGCCUUCUGGACGGUGACUGACGCUGAGACGCGAAAGCGUGGGGAGCAAACAGG